AACGAACGCUGGCGGCAUGCCUAACACAUGCAAGUCGAACGAGACCUUCGGGUCUAGUGGCGCACGGGUGCGUAACGCGUGGGAACCUGCCCUUAGGUUCGGAAUAACUCCCCGAAAGGGGUGCUAAUACCGGAUAAUGUCUUCGGACCAAAGAUUUAUCGCCUUUGGAUGGGCCCGCGUUGGAUUAGCUAGUUGGUAGGGUAAAAGCCUACCAAGGCGACGAUCCAUAGCUGGUCUGAGAGGAUGAUCAGCCACACUGGGACUGAGACACGGCCCAGACUACUACGGGAGGCAGCAGUGGGGAAUAUUGGACAAUGGGCGAAAGCCUGAUCCAGCAAUGCCGCGUGAGUGAUGAAGGCCUUAGGGUUGUAAAGCUCUUUUACCCGGGAUGAUAAUGACAGUACCGGGAGAAUAAGCGCCGGCUGACUCCGUG
rnacentral:rRNA from 1 species